CCUGGUUGAUCCUGCAAGUAGUCAUAUGCUUGUCUCAUAGAUUAAGCCAUGCAUGUGCAAGUAUGAACUAAUUCAGACUGUGAAACUACGAAUGGCUCAUUAAAUCAGUUAUAGUUUGUUUGAUGGUACCUGGUACUCGGAUAACCGUUGUAAUUCUAGAGCUAAUACAUGCACCAUUCCCCGACUUCCGGAAGUGUUGCAUUUAAUUGAUAAAAGGCCGACGCGGGCUAGCCCAGCCGAUCUGAUGAUUCAUGAUAACUCGAUGGACCGUACAACCCUCGUAACGGGUGACGAAGAAUUAGGGUACGAUUCCGGAGAGGGAGCCUGAGAAACGGCUACCACAUCCAAGGAAGGCAGUAGGCGCGCAAAUUACCCAAUCCUUACACGGGGAGGUAGUGACAAUAAAUAACAAUACCGAGACUUUCGGGUCUGGUAAUUGGAAUUAGUAUAAUCUAAAUCCCUUAAUGAGGAUCCAUUGGAGGGCAAGUCUGGUGCCAGCAGUCGAGGUAAUUCCAGCUCCAAUAGCGUAUAUUUAAGUUGUUGCAGUUAAAAAGCUCGUAGUCGGACCUUGCUCCGGGCCGGCCGAUCCGCCUCUCGGUGUGCAAUGAUUCCGGUCUUAUUGUGUUGGCCUUCAGGAUUAGAGUAAUGAUUAAGAGGGCCAGUCGGGGGCAUUCGUAUUUUCAUAGUCAGAGGUGAAAUUCUUAAAUUUAUGAAAGACGAUCCAUGGGAAAGCAUUUGCUAAGGAUGUUUUCAUUGAUCAAGAACGAAAGUUGGGGUUCGAAGAUGAUCAGAUACCGUCUUAGUCUCAAUCAUAAACGAUGCCGACCAGGGAUUGGCUGAUGUUUCUUUUAGGACUCAGCCGGCACCUUAUGAGAAAUCAAAGUCUUUGGGUUCAGGUGGGAGUAUGGUCGCAAGGUUAAAACUUAAAGGAAUUGACCGAAGGGCACCACCAGGAGUGGAGCCUGCUACUUAAUUUGACUCAACACGGGGAAACUUACCAGGUAUAGACAUAGCAAGGAUUGAUAGACUGAGAGCUCUUUCUUGAUUCUAUGGAUGGUGGUGCAUGGCCGUUCUUAGUUGGUGGAGCGAUUUGUCUUGUUAAUUCUGAUAAUGAACUAGACCUCAGCCUGCUAACUAGCUAUGCGGAGGAAUCCCUACGCGGCCAGCUUCUUAGAGGGACUGUGGCCAUUUAAGACACCGAAGUUUGAGAUAAUAACAGGUCUAUGAUGCCCUUAGAUGUUCUGGGCCGCACGCGCUCUACACUGAUGUACUCAACGAGUCUAUAUCGUUGGCCGACAGGCCCGGGUAAUCUUGUUAAAUUUCAUCAUGAUGGGGAUAGAUCAUUGUAAUUGUUGGUCUUCAAAGAGGAAUUCCUAGUAAGCGUCAGUCAUCAGCUCGUGUUGACUAUAUUCCUGCCCUUUGUACACACCGCCCAUCACUCCUACCGAUUGAAUGGUUCGGUGAAGUUUUCGGAUCACGAUGACGGGGGCGGUCACGCUGACCGCGACGUCGCGAGAAGUCCACUGAACUUUAUCAUUUAGAGGAAGUAGAAGUCGUAACAAGGCUUCCGUAGGUAAACUUGGGGAAG
rnacentral:rRNA from 1 species